UACGUAGGGGGCUAGCGUUGUCCGGAAUCAUUGGGCGUAAAGCGCGCGUAGGCGGCCCUGUUAGUCCGCUGUAAAAGUCAAAGGCUCAACCUUUGAAUGCCGGUGGAUACUGCAGGGCUAGAGUCCGGAAGAGGCGAGUGGAAUUCCUGGUGUAGCGGUGGAAUGCGCAGAUAUCAGGAGGAACACCGAUGGCGAAGGCAGGUCUCUGGGCCACUACUGACGCUGAGAAGCGAAAGCAUGGGGAGCGAACAGG
rnacentral:rRNA from 1 species